rnacentral:rRNA from 1 species
UACGAAGGGGGCUAGCGUUGCUCGGAAUCACUGGGCGUAAAGGGUGCGUAGGCGGGUUUUUAAGUCAGAGGUGAAAUCCUGGAGCUCAACUCCAGAACUGCCUUCGAUACUGGAAAGCUCGAGUCCGGGAGAGGUGAGUGGAACUGCGAGUGUAGAGGUGAAAUUCGUAGAUAUUCGCAAGAACACCAGUGGCGAAGGCGGCUCACUGGCCCGGUACUGACGCUGAGGUGCGAAAGCGUGGGGAGCAAACAGGG